UACAGAGGUCUCAAGCGUUGUUCGGAUUCAUUGGGCGUAAAGGGUGCGUAGGCGGCGCGGUAAGUCGGGUGUGAAAUCUCGGAGCUUAACUCCGAAACUGCAUUCGAUACUGCCGUGCUUGAGGACUGGAGAGGAGACUGGAAUUUACGGUGUAGCGGUGAAAUGCGUAGAUAUCAGGAAGAACACCCGUGGCUAAGGCGGCUCUCUAGUACGGUACUGACGCUGAGACGCGAAAGCGUGGGGAGCGAACAGG
rnacentral:rRNA from 1 species